UCCUGGUGGCUCAUAUGGUAAAGCAUCCGUCUAUAAUGCAGAAGACCCAGGUUUGAUUCCUGGGUCAGGAA
rnacentral:tRNA from 1 species